rnacentral:rRNA from 1 species
UAGGGAAUCUUCCACAAUGGACGCAAGUCUGAUGGAGCAACGCCGCGUGAGUGAAGAAGGUUUUCGGAUCGUAAAGCUCUGUUGUUGGUGAAGAAGGAUAGAGGUAGUAACUGGCCUUUAUUUGACGGUAAUCAACCAGAAAGUCACGGCUAACUACGUGCCAGCAGCCGCGGUAAUACGUAGGUGGCAAGCGUUGUCCGGAUUUAUUGGGCGUAAAGCGAGCGCAGGCGGAAGAAUAAGUCUGAUGUGAAAGCCCUCGGCUUAACCGAGGAACUGCAUCGGAAACUGUUUUUCUUGAGUGCAGAAGAGGAGAGUGGAACUCCAUGUGUAACGGUGGAAUGCGUAGAUAUAUGGAAGAACACCAGUGGCGAAGGCGACUCUCUGGUCUGCAACUGACGCUGAGGCUCGAAAGCAUGGGUAGCGAACAGG